rnacentral:rRNA from 1 species
GAUGAACGCUGGCGGCGUGCCUAAUACAUGCAAGUCGAGCGAACAGACGAGGAGCUUGCUCCUCUGACGUUAGCGGCGGACGGGUGAGUAACACGUGGAUAACCUACCUAUAAGACUGGGAUAACUUCGGGAAACCGGAGCUAAUACCGGAUAAUAUAUUGAACCGCAUGGUUCAAUAGUGAAAGACGGUUUUGCUGUCACUUAUAGAUGGAUCCGCGCCGCAUUAGCUAGUUGGUCAGGUAACGGCUUACCAAGGCAACGAUGCGUAGCCGACCUGAGAGGGUGAUCGGCCACACUGGAACUGAGACACGGUCCAGACUCCUACGGGAGGCAGCAGUAGGGAAUCUUCCGCAAUGGGCGAAAGCCUGACGGAGCAACGCCGCGUGAGUGAUGAAGGUCUUCGGAUCGUAAAACUCUGUUAUUAGGGAAGAACAAAUGUGUAAGUAACUAUGCACGUCUUGACGGUACCUAAUCAGAAAGCCACGGCUAACUACGUG